UACGUAGGGGGCAAGCGUUGUCCGGAUUUAUUGGGCGUAAAGAGCGUGUAGGCGGCUAGAUAGGUCCGUUGUGAAAACUCGAGGCUCAACCUCGAGACGUCGGUUGAAACCGUAUGGCUAGAGUCCGGAAGAGGAGAGUGGAAUUCCCGGUGUAGCGGUGAAAUGCGCAGAUAUCGGGAAGAACACCCGUGGCGAAGGCGGCUCUCUGGGACGGUACUGACGCUGAGACGCGAAAGCGUGGGGAGCGAACAGG
rnacentral:rRNA from 1 species